rfam:Dipodomys ordii contig_81835, whole genome shotgun sequence.
GGUGGCUCAGUGGUAGAGCACUUGCCUUGCAUGCAAGAGGCCCUGGGUUCGAUUCCUCAGCACCA